CCUACGGGUGGCUGCAGUGGGGAAUAUUGCACAAUGGGCGCAAGCCUGAUGCAGCCAUGCCGCGUGUGUGAAGAAGGCCUUCGGGUUGUAAAGCACUUUCAGCGGGGAGGAAGGCGGUGAGGUUAAUAACCUCAUCGAUUGACGUUACCCGCAGAAGAAGCACCGGCUAACUCCAUGCCAGCAGCCGCGGUAAUACGGAGGGUGCAAGCGUUAAUCGGAAUUACUGGGCGUAAAGCGCACGCAGGCGGUCUGUCAAGUCGGAUGUGAAAUCCCCGGGCUCAACCUGGGAACUGCAUUCGAAACUGGCAGGCUAGAGUCUUGUAGAGGGGGGUAGAAUUCCAGGUGUAGCGGUGAAAUGCGUAGAGAUCUGGAGGAAUACCGGUGGCGAAGGCGGCCCCCUGGACAAAGACUGACGCUCAGGUGCGAAAGCGUGGGGAGCAAACAGGAUUAGAUACCCCGGUAGUC
rnacentral:rRNA from 1 species